rnacentral:rRNA from 1 species
UACGGAGGGGGCUAGCGUUGUUCGGAAUUACUGGGCGUAAAGCGCACGUAGGCGGAUUGGAAAGUUGGGGGUGAAAUCCCGGGGCUCAACCUCGGAACUGCCUUCAAAACUCCCAGUCUAGAGUUCGAGAGAGGUGAGUGGAAUUCCGAGUGUAGAGGUGAAAUUCGUAGAUAUUCGGAGGAACACCAGUGGCGAAGGCGGCUCACUGGCUCGAUACUGACGCUGAGGUGCGAAAGCGUGGGGAGCAAACAGG